GUACAUAGAACUAUGUUUAAGACUUGAUAACAUUCUGCUACAAAUUAGCAAUAUACUUUUAAUGCUGCUACUUGAUCUGUAUUUGCAAGCAUUCCACUACUUUUGAACUGUGGGGCUGACUACUAUCUAGAGGAAUUGAGUUAUCUGGGUAUCGUUAUAUAUAAGAGGAAUUUCUUUUAGAUUUUAUUUCUCUUUACUUAGAGUAUAUACUUUCGAUUCCAGGUCAUCUCACUAGUGUAGUGAGCAUUUUUUUGCCCGAUUUAUCUACCAUUUAUCUAACGGGCUUACAGCUUGUCACAAACUCCAGGGAAUCACACCUUAUUUACUGGGUGCUAUUCCCAUAAUAGUAGUUUGAUUACAUUUUGUGCAGACAUUUUGGCUCACCAAGGAGCUUCCUGAAAUGUGUUACAUCAUAGAUACUUCAGUAUGACAUGCUACUUUGAACACACAAGCUCCCAGUUACCUAUUGGCUUAUAAUAUUGCCAUAUAGUGAUCCAUAUCUGCCUGACUGCCUCCCAUUGUACUAUUAUAAUCUCACGGACUAUGAGCCAUCCCCCCAUCCCGGACCCCAUGUAUUUUAUCUAGUCUCUACACCGUUUUUCAAUAAAGUAUUUUUUAUUUAUUUUUUUAUUCAUCUUUGUUAACCAGGGGAUUCUAUACCCCCCUAGUGGGCAUACCCUUAGUCGAGUGUAUUGUG